rnacentral:rRNA from 1 species
AAAGCGGGAGUAGUGCUUCGGUCUUAUUUCGGCUGUGCGCUCAGGCUGCACGCCGAUAACCUCUCACACCUGUGCACCUUUUCGGUUGCGGUUUCGGCCGCUUCCGCUUUUACAUGCAACCACGAAAAGUCUAGAAUGUGACGAGAACUAUAAAGUAACAACUUUCAACAACGGAUCUCUUGGCUCUCGCAUCGAUGAAGAACGCAGCGAAAUGCGAUAAGUAAUGUGAAUUGCAGAAUUCAGUGAAUCAUCGAAUCUUUGAACGCACCUUGCGCUCCUUGGUAUUCCAUGGAGCAUGCCUGUUUGAGUGUCACGUAAACCCUCACCCCUGCGAUGUAACAGUCGCCUGCGGUGGACUUGGACCGUGCCGGUAAUCGGCUCGUCUUGAAAUGCAUUAGCUGGCGCUUUUAGAGUGCUGGGCGAACGGUGUGAUAAUUAUCUGCGCCGACUGCCCUGGGCCUCUUCAGCGGCGCUGCUUACAGCCGUCCCUUGCGGACAACUAUUUUAAAGCUUUGGCCUCAAAUCAGGUAGGACUACCCGCUGAACUUAAGCAUAUCAAUAAGCGGAGGAA